rnacentral:rRNA from 1 species
CGUGUAGGCGGUUGGUCAAGUCGGGUGUGAAAGCCUGGGGCUCAGCCCCAGAAGUGCAUCCGAAACUAGCCAGCUAGAGCGCGAUAGAGGAGGGUGGAAUUCCUGGUGUAGCGGUGAAAUGCGUAGAUAUCAGGAGGAACACCGGCGGCGAAGGCGGCCCUCUGGAUCGUUGCUGACGCUGAGACGCGAAAGCGUGGGGAGCAAACAGGAUUAGAUACCCUGGUAGUCCACGCCUUAAGCGAUGGGUACUAGGUGUUCGGGGUGUUGACCCCCUGAGUGCCGCAGUUAACGCAUUAAGUACCCCGCCUGGGGACUACGGCCGCAAGGUUAAA